rnacentral:rRNA from 1 species
AGUGAACGCUGGCGGUAGGCCUAACACAUGCAAGUCGAACGGCAACACAGUAAGAGCUUGCUCUUACGGGUGGCGAGUGGCGGACGGGUGAGGAAUACAUCGGAAUCUACUUUUUCGUGGGGGAUAAUGUAGGGAAACUUACGCUAAUACCGCAUACGACCUACGGUUGAAAGCAGGGGAUCUUCGGACCUUGCGCGAUUGAAUGAGCCGAUGUCGGAUUAGCUAGUUGGCGGGGUAAAGGCCCACCAUGGCGACGAUCCGUAGCUGGUCUGAGAGGAUGAUCGGCCGCACGGGAAGGGAGACAGGGUCCAGACGCCUACGGGAGGGGGCAGUGGGGAAUAUUGGACAGUGGGCGCAAGUCUGAUCCAGCGAUACCGCGUGGGUGAAGAAGGCCUUCGGGUUGUAAAGCCCUUUUGUGGGGAAAGAAAAGCAGCAGGUUAAUACCACGCGGUUCUGACGGUACCCAAAGAAUAAGCACCGGCUAACUUCGUG